GGUUAAGUGACUAAGCGUACAUGGUGGAUGCCUUGGCAGUCAGAGGCGAUGAAGGACGUACUAACCUGCGAUAAGCUGUGAGAAGUCGGUAAGAGACGCUAUUACUCACAGAUUUCCGAAUGGGGAAACCCACCCAAGAUAACUUGGGUAUCGUUACAUGAAUACAUAGUGUAACGAGGCGAACCGGGAGAACUGAAACAUCUAAGUACCCCGAGGAAAAGAAAUCAACCGAGAUUCCCUCAGUAGCGGCGAGCGAACGGGGAUUAGCCCUUAAGUUUCUUGGAAGUUAGUGGAAUGGUCCUGGAAAGGCCAGCGAUACAGGGUGAUAGCCCCGUACAUGAAAACGACCUUGAAGUGAAAUCGAGUAGGGCGGGACACGUGACAUCCUGUCUGAAUAUGGGGGGACCAUCCUCCAAGGCUAAAUACUCCUGACUGACCGAUAGUGAACCAGUACCGUGAGGGAAAGGCGAAAAGAACCCCUGUGAGGGGAGUGAAAUAGAACCUGAAACCGUGUACGUACAAGCAGUGGGAGCUCUUCGGGGUGACUGCGUACCUUUUGUAUAAUGGGUCAGCGACUUACAUUUUGUAGCGAGGUUAACCGUAUAGGGGAGCCGUAGGGAAACCGAGUCUUAACUGGGCGUCUAGUUGCAAGGUGUAGACCCGAAACCGGGUGAUCUAGCCAUGGGCAGGUUGAAGGUUGAGUAACAUCAACUGGAGGACCGAACCCACUAACGUUGC
rnacentral:rRNA from 1 species